GAUGAACGCUGGCGGCGUGCCUAAUACAUGCAAGUCGAGCGAACAGACGAGGAGCUUGCUCCUCUGACGUUAGCGGCGGACGGGUGAGUAACACGUGGAUAACCUACCUAUAAGACUGGGAUAACUUCGGGAACCCGGAGCUAAUACCGGAUAAUAUAUUGAACCGCAUGUUUCAAUAGUGAAAGACGGUUUUGCUGUCACUUAUAGAUGGAUCCACGCCGCAUUAGCUAGUUGGUAAGGUAACGGCUUACCAAGGCAACGAUGCGUAGCCGACCUGAGAGGGUGAUCGGCCACACUGGAACUGAGACACGGUCCAGACUCCUACGGGAGGCAGCAGUAGGGAAUCUUCCGCAAUGGGCGAAAGCCUGACGGAGCAACGCCGCGUGAGUGAUGAAGGUCUUCGGAUCGUAAAACUCUGUUAUUAGGGAAGAACAAAUGUGUAAGUAACUAUGCACGUCUUGACGGUACCUAAUCAGAAAGCCACGGCUAACUACGUG
rnacentral:rRNA from 1 species